CCUACGGGUGGCAGCAGUGGGGAAUAUUGCACAAUGGGGGAAACCCUGAUGCAGCGACGCCGCGUGAGUGAAGAAGUAAUUCGUUAUGUAAAGCUCUAUCAGCAGGGAAGAAAAUGACGGUAUCUGAGUAAGAAGCCCCGGCUAACUACGUGCCAGCAGCCGCGGUAAUACGUAGGGGGCAAGCGCUAUCCGGAUUUACUGGGUGUAAAGGGAGCGUAGACGGCAGUGCAAGUCUGGAGUGAAAGGCGGGGGCUCAACCCCCGGACUGCACUUGAAACUGGGUGUCUUGAGGGCAGGAGAGGAAAGUGGAAUUCCUAGUGUAGCGGUGAAAUGCGUAGAUAUAAGGAGGAACACCAGUGGCGAAGGCGACUAUCUGGACUGUACCUGACGCUGAGGCGCGAAAGCGUGGGUAGCGAACGGGAUUAGAUACCCCUGUAGUC
rnacentral:rRNA from 1 species